rnacentral:lncRNA from 1 species
AGAGAGAAAGAGAGAAGUUUGGAGAAAACUUAGGCGUUGGCUUGAUUGAAAAAGAGGAAGGCCUUGGGGUUCUAUUUAUAGAGUGAGGAGGCUAGGGUUUCAUGAAAAGAGAGAUGGGAGUGUGAAUAAGGAUCCUUGGAUCUUCAUAUUGAUUCUCCUCCGUUGAUCAAUAAGUCGUGUUCACACUUAGUUCCAUUUAUCUUUUAAUCUGGGCCUUUGAUUGGAGAGGUUGCU